rnacentral:lncRNA from 1 species
AAAUGUUUUACAGAAUAAAUAUUUACUUGUGUGUAGUGCUGUUUUUGAGGACUGAGUUGUAUCAAACUACAUCUUGUUGGAAUUUGCUUAACUUUUGCUCCUCUACAUAUCUAAGAACAGUCUCUGCCAAUGUCCCAGCUAUCGGACUUCUGAAUGACACUCCGAAAAUCUGCUUAAAUAUCUUGCCCCUAAACAUGGAAUAUGAAUUAUAACAGAUGAGAUGCGCAAUCUCUCUAAGUAGUGCUGGGUCUGUCUGGUCCAAAAGGAGGUUUUGCAAUAGGAAUCUGUAAAAAUAUAGGCAUACUAGUUCCAGACACAAAGAUGGGUACAGC